rnacentral:rRNA from 1 species
UACGGAGGGUGCAAGCGUUAUCCGGAUUCACUGGGUUUAAAGGGUGUGUAGGCGGGCUGUUAAGUCAGUGGUGAAAUCUCCAGGCUCAACCUGGAAACUGCCAUUGAUACUAUCAGUCUUGAAUAUCGUUGAGGUGGGCAGAAUAUGUCAUGUAGCGGUGAAAUGCAUAGAUAUGACAUAGAAUACCGAUUGCGAAGGCAGCUCACUAAGCGUGUAUUGACGCUGAGGCACGAAAGCGUGGGGAUCAAACAGG